rnacentral:rRNA from 1 species
GACGGAGGGUGCUAGCGUUGUUCGGAAUUAUUGGGCGUAAAGAGCUCGUAGGCGGUUUGUCACGUCUGCUGUGAAAUCCCGAGGCUCAACCUCGGGCCUGCAGUGGGUACGGGCAGACUGGAGUGCGGUAGGGGAGAAUGGAAUUCCUGGUGUAGCGGUGGAAUGCGCAGAUAUCAGGAGGAACACCGAUGGCGAAGGCAGUUCUCUGGGCCGUAACUGACGCUGAGGAGCGAAAGCGUGGGGAGCGAACAGG